GACGAACGCUGGCGGCGUGCUUAACACAUGCAAGUCGAACGGAAAGGCCCUGCUUUUGUGGGGUGCUCGAGUGGCGAACGGGUGAGUAACACGUGAGUAACCUGCCCUUGACUUUGGUAUAACUUCAGGAAACUGGGGCUAAUACCGGAUAGGAGCUCCUGCUGCAUGGUGGGGGUUGGAUAGUUUCGGCGGUUGGGGAUGGACUCGCGGCUUAUCAGCUUGUUGGUGGGGUAGUGGCUUACCAAGGCUUUGACGGGUAGCCGGCCUGAGAGGGUGACCGGCCACAUUGGGACUGAGAGACGGCGCAGACUGCUACGGGAGGCAGCAGGGGGGAAUAUUGCACAAUGGGCGGAAGCCUGAUGCAGAAACGCCGCGUGCGGGAUGACGGCCUUCGGGGUGUAAAACGCUUUCGCCUGUGACGAAGCGGGAGUGACGGUAAUGGGUAAAGAAGCACCGGCUAACUACGUG
rnacentral:rRNA from 1 species